ensembl:lncRNA
UCUGUUGUCUCCUUCUAUAGCCUGACCCCAGAUCUGUUGUCUCCUUCUAUAGCCUGACCCCAGAUCUGUUGUCUCCUUCUAUAGCCUGACCCCAGAUCGGUUUCUCCUUCUAUAGCCUGACCCCAGAUCUGUUGUCUCCUUCUAUAGCCUGACCCCAGAUCUGUUGUCUCCUUCUAUAGACUGACCCCAGAUCUGUUGUCUCCUUCUAUAGCCUGACCCCAGAUCUGUUGUCUCCUUCUAUAGCCUGACCCCAGAUCGGUUUUCUCCUUCUAUAGCCUGACCCCAGAUCUGUUGUCUCCUUCUAUAGCCUGACCUCAGAUCUAUUUUCUCCUUCUAUAGCCUGACCCCAGAUCUAUUUUCUCCUUCUAUAGACUGACCCCAGAUCUGUUGUCUCCUUCUAUAGCCUGACCCCAGAUCUGUUUUCAGUGUGACAGGGAGUUGGCAUGAUAGCACAAACAGACUGGCACUCAGGCUAGGGUCAUCAGUGUGACAGGGAGUUGGCAUGAUAGCACAAACAGACUGGCACUCAGGCUAGGGUCAUCAGUGUGACAGGGAGUUGGCAUGAUAGCACAAACUUCAUGCUGUGUGUCUAUAGCAGGGUUGGGCUCAAUUCCAUUUCAAAUCAGUCGAUUCAGGAAGUACAACUGAAAUUCCAAUUCUCCUUUUUUUUCAACUUUUUAAUGUGGAACAUUGGAAUGUGCAUUUCGGCUUUACCUCCUGAUUUGAAAUAGAAUUGCCCCCCCAGCCCUGGUUUACAAUGUCGUGGCCUGAACAGCACCUCAGAGGUCCAGCUGUGAAGUACAAGUCACUGUUCUCCUAUCAUCAAACCUGAAACAUAAAAAGACAAAUACUGUACAUCUGAUUUAUAAUCUACAGGUGGAUAUCUUUAGUCUCUAUUCUCCUAACAUCUGAUUUAUAAUCUACAGGUGGAUAUCUUUAGUCUCUAUUCUCCUAACAUCUGAUUAAUAAUCUACAGGUGGAUAUCUUUAGUCUCUAUUCUCCUAACAUCUGAUUUAUAAUCUACAGUCUCUAUUCUCCUAACAUCUGAUUUAUAAUCUACAGGUGGAUAUCUUUAGUCUCUAUUCUCCUAACAUCUUAUUUAUAAUCUACAGUCUCUAUUCUCCUAACAUCUGAAUUAUAAUCUACAGGCUCUAUUCUCCUAACAUCUGAAUUAUAAUCUACAGGUGGAUAUCUUUAGUCUCUAUUCUCCUAACAUCUGAUUUAUAAUCUACAGUCUCUAUUCUCCUAACAUCUGAUUUAUAAUCUACAGUCUCUAUUCUCCUAACAUCUUAUUUAUAAUCUACAGUCUCUAUUCUCCUAACACCUGAUUAAUAAUCUACAGUCUCUAUUCUCCUAACAUCUGAUUUAUAAUCUACAGGUGGAUAUCUUUAGUCUCUAUUCUCCUAACAUCUUAUUUAUAAUCUACAGUCUCUAUUCUCCAAACAUCUGAUUUAUAAUCUACAGGUGGAUAUCUUUAGUCUCUAUUCUCCUAACAUCUUAUUUAUAAUCUACAGUCUCUAUUCUCCAAACAUCUGAUUUAUAAUCUACAGUCUCUAUUCUCCAAACAUCUGAUUUAUAAUCUACAGUCUCUAUUCUCCUAACAUCUGAAUUAUAAUCUACAGGCUCUAUUCUACUAACAUUUUAUUUAUAAUCUACAGGCUCUAUUCUCCUAACAUCUGAAUUAUAAUCUACAGGUGGAUAUCUUUAGUCUCUAUUCUCCUAACAUCUGAUUAAUAAUCUACAGUCUCUAUUCUCCUAACAUCUGAUUUAUAAUCUACAGUCUCUAUUCUCCUAACAUCUGAUUUAUAAUCUACAGUCUCUAUUCUCCUAACAUCUGAAUUAUAAUCUACAGGUGGUUAUCUUUAGGCUCUAUUCUCCUAACAUCUGAUUUACAAUCUACAGUCUCUAUUCUCCUAACAUCUGAAUUAUAAUCUACAGGUGGUUAUCUUUAGGCUCUAUUCUCCUAACAUCUGAUUUACAAUCUACAGUCUCUAUUCUAACAUCUGAAUUAUAAUCUACAGGUGGUUAUCUUUAGGCUCUAUUCUCCUAACAUCUGAUUUAUAAUCUACAGUCUCUAUUCUCCUAACAUCUGAUUUACAAUCUACAGUCUCUAUUCUAACAUCUGAAUUAUAAUCUACAGUCUCUAUUCUAACAUCUGAAUUAUAAUCUACAGGUGGAUAUCUUUAGUCUCUAUUCUCCUAACAUCUGAUUCAUAAUCUACAGUCUCUAUUCUCCUAACAUCUGAUUUAUAAUCUACAGGUGGUUAUCUUUAGGCUCUAUUCUCCUAACAUCUGAUUUAUAAUCUACAGGUGGUUAUCUUUAGGCUCUCUUCUCCUUCGUCAGUCUGUGUCCCUCUGUUGAGUGUCUUCCUGGAGUUGUGUGUGUUGUCAGGGUUACUGGUCGAUUCCUCUGAACAGACACAUGGCAAACACCAUGGCAAACAGCUGAGAGAACAAGGGAGACAGUUUAGGAAGGGUUAGGAGGAUCACUGCAA